CCUACGGGGGGCAGCAGUGGGGAAUAUUGGACAAUGGGGGAAACCCUGAUCCAGCGACGCCGCGUGAGUGAAGAAGUACUUCGGUACGUAAAGCUCUUUCAGCAGGGAAGAAAAUGACGGUAUCUGACUAAGAAGCGCCGGCUAACUACGUGCCAGCAGCCGCGGUAAUACGGAGGGGACAAGCGGUAUCCGGAUUUACUGGGUGUAAAGGGAGUGUAGACGGCAGCGCAAGUCUGGAGUGAAAUGCCGGGGCCCAACCCCGGAACUGCUCGGGAAACUGGGAGGCUGGAGUGCAGGAGAGGUAAGCGGAAUGCCUGGUGUAGCGGUGAAAUGCGUAGAUAUCAGGAGGAACACCGGCGGCGAAGGCGGCUUACUGGACUGUAACUGACGUUGAGGCUCGAAGGCGUGGGGAGCAAACAGGAUUAGAUACCCUUGUAGUC
rnacentral:rRNA from 1 species